rnacentral:rRNA from 1 species
GAUGAACGCUAGCGGGAGGCUUAACGCAUGCAAGUCGAGGGGUAGGGAAGCAAUUCCUGAGACCGGCGGACGGGUGCGUAACGCGUAUGCAACCUGCCUUAUACAGGGGGAUAGCCCAUGGAAACGUGGAUUAACACCCCAUAGGAUUACGGGAUCGCAUGAUUUUGUGAUUAAAACUGAGGUGGUAUAAGAUGGGCAUGCGUCUGAUUAGGUAGUUGGUAGGGUAUUGGCCUACCAAGCCGACGAUCAGUAGGGGUUCUGAGAGGAUUACCCCCCACACUGGUACUGAGACACGGACCAGACUCCUACGGGAGGCAGCAGUGAGGAAUAUUGGUCAAUGGCCGGAAGGCUGAACCAGCCAUCCCGCGUGCAGGAUGACGGCCCUAUGGGUUGUAAACUGCUUUUGUACCUGAAGAAUAGGCCCAACGAGUUGGGAUUUGCCGGUAAGGUAUGAAUAAGCAUCGGCUAACUCCGUGCCAGCAGCCGCAGUAAGAC